rnacentral:rRNA from 1 species
GAGCGAAGCCUUCGGGCUUAGCGGCGGACGGGUGAGUAACGCGUGGGAACGUGCCCUUUGCUACGGAACAGUCCUGGGAAACUGGGUUUAAUACCGUAUACGCUCUUCGGAGGAAAGAUUUAUCGGCAAAGGAUCGGCCCGCGUUGGAUUAGGUAGUUGGUGGGGUAAUGGCCUACCAAGCCGACGAUCCAUAGCUGGUUUGAGAGGAUGAUCAGCCACACUGGGACUGAGACACGGCCCAGACUCCUACGGGAGGCAGCAGUGGGGAAUCUUAGGCAAUGGGGGCAACCCUGAUCUAGCCAUGCCGCGUGAGCGAAGAAGGCCUUAGGGUUGUAAAGCUCUUUCGCUGGGGAAGAUAAUGACGGUACCCAGUAAAGAAGCCCCGGCUAACUCCGUGCCAGC